CACGUAGGGCGCAAGCGUUGUCCGGAAUUAUUGGGCGUAAAGAGCUCGUAGGCGGUCUGUUGCGUCUGCUGUGAAAACCCGGGGCUUAACCCCUGGCUUGCAGUGGAUACGGACAGACUAGAGGUAGGUAGGGGAGAAUGGAAUUCCCGGUGUAGCGGUGAAAUGCGCAGAUAUCGGGAGGAACACCGGUGGCGAAGGCGGUUCUCUGGGCCUUACCUGACGCUGAGGAGCGAAAGCGUGGGGAGCAAACAGG
rnacentral:rRNA from 1 species